ensembl:lncRNA
AUGUCUUCUGGCAGAAGGAACUGGUCUGAUCUCUCCAGCCUGGCCAGGCAGAGGACCCUUGAGGAUGAGGAAGAGCAGGAAAGAGAGCGCCGGCGAAGGCACCGGAGCCUGCGGUCCUCCACAUCCACGGAUGAAGAACCUCUUAGUCCUAUGAAAGACACCAGCCCAGCUUCCAGCAGACCUCCAUCCCUGGUGAAGCCAGUGUCUCCAGUGGAUGGAGAGGAGCGUAAGCUCUCGGAGGUGCUGAAGACACAAGAAGGGAGACGGACAAGGUCCCCGAUGGCUGUCUCUGCAAAGCUGAGGCAGGAGAAGGAGCAGCACGAUCCAGGGGUGGGAGCGAGCCACACGGAGACAGGGACACAGCCACGCGCGGGGCAGGACCAGGCUGGAGAACGGGGUCAGGAUGUGGCCAAGGGCAGAGGAGACCCACCAGGAGACGAGCACUCGGAGCCGACCUCGGAGAGGAAGGCGGUGGUGAGGGGACGACUCCAGGACAAAGAGGAACAAGGUGUGGGCACACCUCAGGGGGAGCAGAGGAAGGAGGUGGGGGAGUCGCAGAAGCGGGCAUCGCCUGAGCUGGGGGGCUGCCGGCUCCGCGAAGUGAGGAUCCUGACAAGACAGGGAAGCCGUAGCAUGGAGGAGAAGACAGCCUCAGUGGUGACCUCAUCUCUGGACCAGCAGCAACCAUCCAGGAAUCCCCCAAAGGAGGUAAUACAGCUGUCUCCCACCCAAGAUGAACCUGCAGAAAAGUCAGAUACUUCUCCAACCCAUGUCAUCUACAGCAGUUCCAUCAAACGAACCAGCCCAAGAACUGUCUCCUUUCGGAUGAUCUCAAGAAAACAGAAAGAAGAAAGCCAAAGCCCUCUCACAAGGAGGUCAGCACCUCUCUUCAUGUCCUUUUGGUCUUGCUGGGCAGGAAUUGUCAUCCUUUGUUUUCCAAGGGAGGAAAAGGAGGUGAUGGGACCUGGUACCAGUUAGUGAGUGCCCUGGCACAGAUCUGCUGAACAUUGGUCCUUAGGGUGCCUGGCUGACUGGGCAGCAAUGCUUAGCAGAGAACAGGACAAUGUCCAAUGUACAGCUUGCAUCUGUACAAGAUCCCCUGAGGUAGUCCCUGCUGCCUUGGGGUUGAUGUAGUGCCUCAUCAGUGUUUGUGUUUGCACAGGAGUGGUGAAGCACCACAACAGGGUCCCAUCCUUGGAGAUAUCAAAACUCACUAUACAGGUCCAUGAGGAACCUGAUCUGGCUUUUUGUGGCCAGAUUAAGUGGUCGUUCACGUCUCCAUGGCAAGGUUUGGACAGGUGGCUUAAAAACUCUUGAGGACCCAAGGGCUGAGGUCUGAAUGCAGAGAGUUGAUAGGAUGCCCUCUCCCACCUCUGCAUGCAGGAUAGGGGAGUGGGCUUUACAGGCACCUGGGCUUGCACUUAUGGAUACUAUAGGGAAACUCAUGCUGAUACCGGUGAAGAUGCAGUUCAGACAUGGCGGUGGCGAAGACAGGGAAUACUGAGGAGCUCAGAGCUAUUUUUCAAUGUACAGCAUGGCCCUCAUAAAAUGGAGAGACACAGAGACCUCAGUCACCAGCAGGGAAUGAGCUGCCUUGGUUCACUUGGCAGACGGAUGCAGGACAUGUGCCUGAGUCGGACAGGGUCUUCUCCUACUAAGUGGAGUCCCCCAAGACCAUGGGCUGAGUCCCAGGAGAUCCUGAGGGGUCUGUGUUCAACUCUUUCCCUUCUUCUUCACCAGCGCGAGUCUGAGGAUCCCAGGGAGCAACACAACCAUUGGGGAGAAGCUGGAAAAGUACAACUCAGCUGUGCAGGUACCUAAAAACCUUGGCAUAGCUGGGCUGAUGUGGGAGGUAUGUGUGGGGAGAAGGAGGGGGGUGGCCUGGAUCUCAAUGGGGAAGGCAGGAGAGACUGAGCUGCACCGUACAACUGGUGCUAAUGGGGUUGAAGAAAAUGCUUCCAGGUAAAAAAAGGGAUAGGCCUCAGUGUCUUAGGAGCAGGAGGGGACAUCUGUUGGAGGCAACCAUGGAGAUGAUGCACAGUCCUGCUGGGGGGAGCACUGGAGCAAGCCCACGAGCUGGUGAUGGGCAGGGAAGGAGCAGACGCCAACAGGAUCAAAGUCCUGAGCCAGAAAGAGGACUUUGGUUUUUACUGCUUGGGUGCAGCACGGCCCCCACUGAUGCCGUUCUCUCCUCCCAGCGCUCGGAGGUGGUGAAAUCAUCCCUGACUGUUCAGAAGAGCGUCUUGGUGUCCUCGGAGGGGGUGGCCAGCAAGCGCAACAUCUUUGAGGGAGGUUCUCCCAGCAAGGCUGAGCCGCUGGCUGCCAGGAAGGUAAGGGCAGGAGCUGGCCUGAGUGAGAACCUUCCAGCGGGGUCCUGUGCUGGGACAAGCACUGGCUUUUUGGACAUUCCCUUUGGAUACCAACACCCAGCCUGUCAGGCUGCCGCCUGGAUGCAAUUUGGUGGGAGUUUGGUCCUCGUUGAGCGGUGCCAGGCAGGGCUGAGCUCGGGCACCGGCUGCCACCGAAACUGCUCUGGCGGUGUGUGGGCUUGUGCCGAUGUGCUGGUAUUUGAGGAGCUGGGAUGGAGCCAAGGUGUAGGCUGGUCUCUGCCUGCUGCAGGUUUUCUCAGCCUCCCCAUGCCCUGGGGACUGUCCCGGGUUACGUUCCUGCAGUGGGAGAGCUGGUGCUGUAACCCUGGUGCCCCUCUCUGUGCCACAGGACAACCUGAAGAUCCCGGGAUCAGUGACAUCCCGCAUUAAUCUGUGGAUCAGCCGAGCUCAGGAGCCUGCCAAGGAGGAAAAGAGCAAGGUACCGGCAUGUGCUGACACCUCGGGCUAGACCCUGAGUGGGACAUGUCCCAGCAUCUGGGGUGGAGGGGAUUGAAGGGUUGAUGAACCCUUGACUGAAAGAAGCCAAGCUUAAGAGGAGCUUAACCAAGGUCAGAAGUCUGGGUGCUGCAGGGCCAUCACAGUGAGAUACUGGGGUUCUAUUUGUUCCUGUCCCCUGAUCCUGAGCCCAAAGUGUCCAAGAGAGCUGCUCCCAGCCCUUGGUGGGUUGAGGAGGGAGCAGGCACCAGCUGGAUGCAUGCCCCUGGGGAUGUGGAGGGGGAUCUGACCCUGCCACCAGGGAGAGACAUCACCGCAGCCUGACCUCACCUCUACCAGUGUCUGGAGGACUAGCUCUGACCUGGAAGCCACUGGGAGAUGAGCUGUGUGCUCGGUGCUUCGGGACCAGGCUCUGCAGGGCAUGGAGAGCUGUGUGGACUGAGAGGUCCUGCUGCAGGUGUGGUCUGGAGUGAUCUGCAUCCCUGUGUGCAUCACAGCCCCCAAAAGUAUGGUGUCCUGUAGCUGUGGGGCAAAGUGCCCAGCUAAGGGGACUCACAGGUCAGCACUUUGUCACUGCGGCUUCUCCAGGGACAUGGAUGCAAGGGAGAGGGACAGGAGACCCUUUGUCCUCAGGGCAGUUGACUGAACUUAGAAAGGAGAGGUUUGGCAAGUCCUGGAGAGGUAUCACUGUUACAGCAACAAGGUGUUUUGCCAGUGCCCAUAGCAUCUGCCUGGGUACAGAACCAGGGGGGCAGCUCCAGCCCAGCCCGGCAGACAAGCCUGGGCACCCCCCGUGCCGAGCUGCAGAGAUUAGCGCUGCCCAGACGUGUCUGCGCGGGAGGCCGUGCUGGCUCCGUGUCUGCCAGGAAAGGGUUUGCUCCAGGGGUCACCCUUGGGUAAAGCUUGCAGCUCCUUUAUGGUUUUCCUAUAGUAAUGUCUGCUGCCCUCCAUCUCUGUGAGCUGGAGCUGCACUUGGUUUUGAGGGUCUACCAGGUGCAGGUUCUCAAAGCUGGCUGGGGCAUGUGUCCUUCAAGGUUUGGUUAAAGUCAGACCAAGGCAACACUGCACGUGAUGCAUGGGGAGAACCUUCUUGUGCCACUUACGACCCUCCUGUUUGCAGGACAUCAGGAGAAUAAACAGCCUACCAAAACGUGAUGUGUGGGUAAA